GAUGAACGCUGGCGGCGUGCCUAAUACAUGCAAGUCGAGCGAACGGACGAGAAGCUUGCUUCUCUGAUGUUAGCGGCGGACGGGUGAGACACACGUGGAUAACCUACCUAUAAGACUGGGAUAACUUCGGGAAACCGGAGCUAAUAACGGAUAAUAUUUUUAACCGCAUGGUUCAAAAGUGUAAGACGGUCUUGCUGUCACUUAUAGAUGGAUCCGCUCUGCAUUAGCUAGUUGGUAUGGUAACGGCUUACCAAGGCAACGAUGCAUAGCCGACCUGAGCGGGUGAUCGGCCACACUGGAACUGAGACACGGUCCAGACUCCUACGGGAGGCAGCAGUAGGGAAUCUUCCGCAAUGGGCGAAAGCCUGACGGAGCAACGCCGCGUGAGUGAUGAAGGUCUUCGGAUCGUAAAACUCUGUUAUUAGGGAAGAACAUAUGUGUAAGUAACUGUGCACAUCUUGACGGUACCUAAUCAGAAAGCCACGGCUAACUACGUG
rnacentral:rRNA from 1 species